UAUUUGUAGAAGGCCUACUAUGUGGUAGAUCCUCCAAAGGGGUACAUGAAUGAAAAAGUUUGACUCCAGUCUGGAAAAAGUGAAUAGAUUGGUGAAAAGCCCACUACAUACUCUCCAACAACACAGGCAGUAGUUGGGUAGAUGUAGGUAAAAUACAGCAUAGUUGUUUGGUCUCCAUGAUACAGUGAAGCUGAAAUUCAAAACUGGAAAACAGUGAACAAAUCAAUAAGUGAUGGAGCAGGUGACCCAGCUGGAGAGAACAGUAGUUCUCCAGGCAGAGAGCACUGAGAAUGUGCUGAGAGCGUAACUCUCCAUCCUAACAUCUGGCGCUCCUUUCUUACUCUUGCUUAAUUAUGGCUUUUAAACAGAAACUUUGGCCAUUAGGCAGCCAAAAUGAUUUGUCAUGCUGAACAGAAGGGAAGGAGUUCUCAGUCCCUGGCUGUGUGGAUGAAGUUACAGUUCAGUGGUGAACACCGUUUUUCCAAGUUACUCAGUCUUCGAUGUCCUGCUGUAACAACAGAAAAUGAGCCAAGAUGAUUCAGAAUGCUGCUGUGAUAACACAGUGGUACUUUGUUGGGAGUCACAGCAUAAAGUUCGAAGGACAGCAACAAGCCCCAGCUAAGAGGGUCCACAGAAUCCAUGCCAGUUCACCUUACCAUCUAAAGAAUUUCCUCAAUUGUUGUCAACUUGGACUAGUUCUAGGUUCCACAGAUCCAUGUGCAGCAAUUCACAACCACCUCAUCAGCAGAAGGCUUGAGCUGGACCUUCCUUCAGAAGUGGAAGUGAGCAACUCCACCUGCUCCUGUGACCAGAGUACAGUGAACACAGUGCUGAUGAGAAAAGAUUACCUUGCCACAUGCAAACCUUAGUGCUGAGAGCAAGAUAAAGACAGGACCUGUGCAGAAAACCUGGGCCAACUGCACUUUCAUCAAAUGUCCUGCACACGGGAGUAGCGGUGCUAUGAAAGCUUUGCCUAAAGCCACUCUGUGACACCCAUUCAUGUGCUGUCUCCCAUGUGCUUGACUUCAGCCCUAUUAAAACUUCUUGGAGAUGGAAUUGUGUACUGCUUCAUAAUUUCUUUCUC
rnacentral:lncRNA from 1 species